GCCGGGACCGGGACCGGGACCGGGACCGUGCGGAGGGCACCGCGGGCACACGCGGAGGGUGCAGUGUCCUGGAGGGCGGCCAGGAGGCUAGGUUAGCAGGAUGUCCACAGAAGAGAGGAAAACAAAUGUGUCAGCACAAGAAAACACAAGCCAGUGCUCCAAGUUUGAUUCCAUUCCCCAUCACAACUCAGUUGCAAUGAAAUGCCAAAUAUUAAAACACAUGGAGGACCUAAAUUAAAAAGCAGAAGUCUCAGCAGCUACCCAGCAAUCAAGAAAGAGCAGUCAUGAAUGAGCACUGUCUAUCUCACUCCAAGGACAAAAUAAGUGAAUCUGCAUCUCUGAGUCACUGAACGCCUCCCCGUGCUGAACCACCACUGUGACUUCUUACCUCCUUCUCUGUAAUUCCAUUUCUGAUGCUGGUCCAGAAAGUCCUCCUGAGAUUUACUGCAGGGCAAAAGGAUGAAGAGGAAGAAAAGAGGAAGAGUCACCAUGAUGGCUGUUGUAGAAUCUUGACCUCCCCCUGUCACUGUGGAGACAAAAAGUCUUGCUAAGUGCUUUGUUUCUUUUUUCUUCUCUUUCUACACUUCCCAUCUGUCACCACAACACCAAAUUUCUCUUUGGUGAUGUUUUUAUUUAAAAUGUUAUUCAAGUUGCUCAGAAUAGGUUUUACAGAAGCACAAGGACUUUUCUUUUUCACAAGUAUGAAUUUCACUUCCAUUUCAAGGAACAGAGUGGUACUAAGAUGCUUCAUCAACCAGCAGCAGCUGGGGAAAUAGUUUUUCUUCCUGUGUAGCCUUGUUGGGAGAGCACCUUAUAGCUACAAUUGUUCUAGCAGUGUCAGGAGGAAGUACUACGAAGUGUGAAAAUCACUGCAUCCCUACUUUGUAUUUGGGACAAACAAGGUAAAAAACUAGUAAACAAUUUAUCAAGUGUUUCAUAGGGGCCAGAAUAAUAAAAAAUUGUUAUUUUUUAUCUGAUCUACUAAGCAGUGGCAAUAUCUUAGAUGCUGCCCAGUGAUGGAGCCUCAAAGGUAACCCCAACCCCUGUACUGUUUCCACCUUGCCCUGAUGUCACCAGGUCAGUUCCUCCUGAGCAAAGCUGCAGAGUUGACAGGACAUGUGUAUGAACUGAUGUAUGAACACUCACUUAACUCCUUGUUUUCUUUCAAGUUUGCCAUCAUUUCCAAGCUAAGGAAGUCAACCCUAACCUAGAUGCCCUCCUGGGCAAGUACCAUCUCUAAAUGUAAGAGGAUAGAUCAGUCUCUCCACAGAUUACUCAUGUUGAUUUGUUAUUCCAUCCUAAUAAAUUAGUCCCUCGGUGUUGAAUCAGUAUUUUAAUUGGGAAAAAAAAAAAAGUUCGUGAACAGCUGUUCUGAUAGAAAUUGGUGGAAAAUAUCCAUUAUGCACAUAUUGCACAUGGCAAGCAGAAAAAAUGCAUUGCCAAGUUCAUGGGGUUUAGUGAUGAUUUCGGUCAUCUUUAGUCACAGUGAUGGAGGGGCUCAUGUGAGAAGCAGCCACAUCCAGAAAAUCUGAAUUAUUCUCCUAUUCAUGUACAUGCAUCAAAAGCCUAAGAUCUCACUGCAAAAUAUGAGGACAUUAAAUUUCUUUUUUAAUAUAAUACAACCUUCAUCUCCUGACCAUCUGUGAAGAAUUCAGUUACCUCAAGACCUACCAGAAGCUGUAGCAGAUAAAGCAGUAAAUAAAUAAUUCCGUUCACUUUGUGCCUUUCUAACAUUUGAUCACUAGUGCAUUUUAAUUGCAACUGCAUUUAUUUUUCUGCUAUUUAAAGUAUCAGCAUGAAUAUAACCACACUAAUGGAAAAUGUGAUGAUACUUUAAAAACAUUACUUUCCA